rnacentral:rRNA from 1 species
GUGCCAGCAGCCGCGGUAAUACCGGCAGCCCGAGUGAUGGCCGAUCUUAUUGGGCCUAAAGCGUCCGUAGCUGGCCGCACAAGUCCAUCGGAAAAUCCACCCGCCCAACGGGUGGGCGUCCGGUGGAAACUGUGUGGCUUGGGACCGGAAGGCGCGACGGGUACGUCCGGGGUAGGAGUGAAAUCCUGUGAUCCUGGACGGACCGCCGAUGGCGAAAGCACGUCGCGAGGACGGAUCCGACAGUGAGGGACGAAAGCCAGGGUCUCGAACCGGAUUAGAAACCCUUGUAGUCC